CUACGGGAGGCAGCAGUGGGGAAUUUUGGACAAUGGAGGAAACUCUGAUCCAGGGAUACCGCGUGGGUGAUGAAGAUUUACGGAUUGUAAAGCCCUUUUAGUAGGGAAAAUAAUGAUGGUACCUACAGAAAAAGCAUCAGCUAACUCUGUGCCAGCAGCUGCGGUAAUACAGAGGAUGCGAGUGUUAUUCGGAAUCACUGGGCGUAAAGGGCGCGUAGGCGGUUAUUUAAGUCCGCAAUGAAAUACCGGGGCUCAACUUCGGUGCUGUUGUGGAUACUGUUUAACUAGAGAACGGAAGAGGUGAAUAGAAUUCCUGGUGGAGAGGUGAAAUUCUUAGAUAUCAGGAGGAAUGCCAGAGGCGAAAGCGGUUCACUGGGACGUUUCUGACGCUGAGGCGCGAAAGCGUGGGGAUCAAACAGGAUUAGAUACCCCCGUAGUC
rnacentral:rRNA from 1 species